rnacentral:rRNA from 1 species
AUGAACGCUGGCGGCGUGCCUAAUACAUGCACGUCGAGCGAACAGACGAGGAGCUUGCUCCUCUGACGUUAGCGGCGGACGGGUGAGUAACACGUGGAUAACCUACCUAUAAGACUGGGAUAACUUCGGGAAACCGGAGCUAAUACCGGAUAAUAUAUUGAACCGCAUGGUCCAAUAGUGAAAGACGGUUUUGCUGUCACUUAUAGAUGGAUCCGCGCCGCAUUAGCUAGUUGGUAAGGUAACGGCUUACCAAGGCAACGAUGCGUAGCCGACCUGAGAGGGUGAUCGGCCACACUGGAACUGAGACACGGUCCAGACUCCUACGGGAGGCAGCAGUAGGGAAUCUUCCGCAAUGGGCGAAAGCUUGACGGAGCAACGCCGCGUGAGUGAUGAAGGUCUUCGGAUCGUAAAACUCUGUUAUUAGGGAAGAACAAAUGUGUAAGUAACUAUGCACGUCUUGACGGUACCUAAUCAGAAAGCCACGGCUAACUACGUG